GAUGAAGAACGCAGCGAAAUGCGAUACGUAAUGUGAAUUGCAGAAUUCAGUGAAUCAUCGAGUCUUUGAACGCACAUUGCGCCCCCUGGUAUUCCGGGGGGCAUGCCUGUCCGAGCGUCAUUGCUGCCCUCAAGCACGGCUUGUGUGUUGGGCCUCCGUCCUCCUCCCGGGGGACGGGCCCGAAAGGCAGCGGCGGCACCGCGUCCGGUCCUCGAGCGUAUGGGGCUUCGUCACCCGCUCUUGUAGGCCCGGCCGGCGCUUGCCGACACAUCAAUCUUUUUUCCAGGUUGACCUCGGAUCAGGUAGGGAUACCCGCUGAACUUAAGCAUAUCAAUAAGCGGAUGA
rnacentral:misc_RNA from 1 species